AAGGUGGAUUUGUAAGUAAUUAUUUUAUAAUAUUGAUAAAUGAAGGGUGGAAUAACAUGUGUACAUAUUGCCCGUCGCUCUCGUUAUUUUUGAGAUAAGUCGUAACAUAGUUGAUGAACUGGAAAGUGUAUCUUUUUGA
rnacentral:rRNA from 1 species